CCCCUAGAUGUUCUGGGCCGCACGCGCGCUACACUGAACAGUUCAACAAGUCUUAACCUUGGCCGAUAGGUCUGGGUAAUCUUUGAACGCUGUUCGUGAUUGGGAUAGACCUUUGCAAUUAUGGGUCUUCAACGAGGAAUUCCUAGUAAACGCAAGUCAUCAGCUUGCAUUGAUUACGUCCCUGCCCUUUGUACACACCGCCCGUCGCACCUACCGAUUGAAUGGUCCGGUGAAAUCUCGGGACGGCGGCUUGGUCGCUUGCGUCCGACUGCUGAAACUUGAUUAAACCAUAUCAUUUAGAGGAAGGUGAGNUCGUANCA
rnacentral:rRNA from 1 species